AAUGAGUUGUCUAAACGCUUUUCAUUAUAGGUCAUAGGGGACUUUUUGUAUACACAAAAAUAACUCCAUAAUCUCUGCGGUGGUGUUACCCACUACAGAAAUUAUAGAGCC
rnacentral:ncRNA from 1 species